GAUGAACGCUGGCGGCGUGCCUAAUACAUGCAAGUCGAGCGAACAGACGAGGAGCUUGCUCCUCUGGCGUUAGCGGCGGACGGGUGAGUAACACGUGGAUAACCUACCUAUAAGACUGGGAUAACUUCGGGAAACCGGAGCUAAUACCGGAUAAUAUAUUGAACCGCAUGGUUCAAUAGUGAAAGACGGUUUUGCUGUCACUUAUAGAUGGAUCCGCGCCGCAUUAGCUAGUUGGUAAGGUAACGGCUUACCAAGGCAACGAUGCGUAGCCGACCUGAGAGGGUGAUCGGCCACACUGGAACUGAGACACGGUCCAGACUCCUACGGGAGGCAGCAGUAGGGAAUCUUCCGCAAUGGGCGAAAGCCUGACGGAGCAACGCCGCGUGAGUGAUGAAGGUCUUCGGAUCGUAAAACUCUGUUAUUAGGGAAGAACAAAUGUGUAAGUAACUAUGCACGUCUUGACGGUACCUAAUCAGAAAGCCACGGCUAACUACGUGC
rnacentral:rRNA from 1 species